rnacentral:rRNA from 1 species
AGCGAACGCUGGCGGCAGGCUUAACACAUGCAAGUCGAACGCAUCCUUCGGGGUGAGUGGCAGACGGGUGAGUAACACGUGGGAACGUACCCUUCGAUCUGGGAUAACUUCGGGAAACUGGAGCUAAUACCGGAUACGCCCUUUUGGGGAAAGGUUUACUGUCGAAGGAUCGGCCCGCGUCUGAUGAGCUUGUUGGUGGGGUAACGGCCUACCAAGGCGACGAUCAGUAGCUGGUCUGAGAGGAUGAUCAGCCACACUGGGACUGAGACACGGCCCAGACUCCUACGGGAGGCAGCAGUGGGGAAUAUUGGACAAUGGGCGCAAGCCUGAUCCAGCCAUGCCGCGUGAGUGAUGAAGGCCUUAGGGUUGUAAAGCUCUUUUGUCCGGGACGAUAAUGACGGUACCGGAAGAAUAAGCCCCGGCUAACUUCGUG